UGUAGUGGGUGAAAAUCUUAAAUAAUUCCAAAGGAAAACAUGCAAAAACAAUCAGGAAAAUUCAGUGACUCUACUUGGGACUCAGAACUGAGUUCAAAUAUGAGACCAUCCAGGGCUUUCAAUAGUCAUCCUUAGCCUUAAUUUAUCUGCCUGUAAAAUGGAAAUAAUUGGGAAUACCUAAUUCUGGUUUUAAAAUACACCUUACUUGUAGUUGCUGCAUUUAUUAGGACCUUAUGGAAAUCGUUUUUAUACUUACAGCUGUCAUUACUACCAACAACGUAGUUUUUUGAGGGAAUUGCAAUUCGAAAGGAGAAUUAAUGUCUCUGUUAUUUCUUGGGGCCGCGGUCCUUUAAUAUAACAGUAUCAAGGCAUGCAGAAUAUUUUUAAAGCUUUUAAUAGGUGGAAAAGCGCGCUCCGUGAUAGGGGUGGUCGGUGCCUGUUAUUUAUGAAGUUAGCAUGGGUAGAAAAAAAAACCGUGUUACAAUCUUUUCGAGAUAAACAGGCAGAGAACGAGCGAGAGAGCGAGAGAGAGUCGGCCGAGAUAUUGGGGCAGACUUUUGUUAGCAGCCAAGGAGAAUGGAAAGAAUCUCGGAUUAAUUCGACUUGGCGCUUUCCACAAUCAAGGGAGAUUUUCUACACAUAUUUUUCUUGCGGGAGAUCUUGGCCGAGCGAAGUGUCGAAACAGCGACUGAAUCUCGGCGUCGCAAUUGACCGAGAAGGCGAGAUUGUCGUGGAAGAAGUAUGAAAUAGACACACACACGAACACCAGGAAUGUAUGUCGGGCGAUUCUAGAAGAAUAUAAUCGUGGGUCUGUGUUUUAAAUCCAGUUUGCCCAUUUGAGCGUUACUUGCAAGUUAAUUCCACGGAGCGAAUGAGAGAUUUCGCCCGUGAAAAUGCGGAAGAGACCUCAAGCUAAAACGCUACUUCCACUACAGAAAUAGGAUGAUUGUUGCUAAACAUUCAUUAUUAACUAACACCCCUCCCACCUAGAAAUUGGUUUUAUGCUUCCACCGAAUUCAUACCACUGGAAAAUGUUGUUAUCAAUGUGGCUCUAUUUUCUCGUAGAGAUGCGUAUCCUACCAUCGCUGUUUAUUUUUUUUACUUCUACUACAUGUUAAAAGUACAACUAAUGAAUUCAGUGGGACUCACUCCCAGGGUACUGCAACACACGGGUUCAUACGACCUGGUCUAUACAGUAUAUGCAUCAUAACAAAGUACAAGAAUCCUGAAGGGAUGAAGCAGGCUGUACUACUCCACGUUGUCGUGAUCUGCUGGGAAGCACGUGGAAGAGCCUUUCCUGCUGGUUAAGGCCUCUGGUUUUAAAUCAUAUUCCUCUUUUAAUGGCACCAAAGUUUCAUUUUGCUUCAUGAUAAGGCUGGAAUAGAAGACACUUUUGCUUGGAUGUGGAAUUCAUACUGUCCUUUUGCCUAUGCCUAAAUAAAAUUCUGCAUGUU